rnacentral:tRNA from 1 species
GUGCUGGAUAGCAUGACAGUCUUCGAAACUGUCGGACCAGGUUCGAUUCCUGG